rnacentral:rRNA from 1 species
AUUGAACGCUGGCGGCAGGCCUAACACAUGCAAGUCGAGCGAGCGGCGGACGGGUGAGUAAUGUAUGGGGACUGCCCGAUAGAGGGGGAUAACUACUGGAAACGGUAGCUAAUACCGCAUACUAUCGGAUAACCCAUAUGGGAUUAGCUAGUAGGUGAGGUAUUGGCUCACCUAGGCGACGAUCCCUAGCUGGUCUGAGAGGAUGAUCAGCAACACUGGAACUUAGACACGGCCCAGACUCCUACUGAGGCAGCAGUGGGGAAUAUUGCGCAAUGGGCGCAAGCCUGAUAGAGCCAGGCCGCGUGUAUGAAGAAGGCCCUAGGGUUGUAAAGUACUUUCAGUCGGGAGGCGUUACCGACAGAAGAAGCACCGGCUAACUCCGUGCCAGCCGCCGCGGUAAUUC